UGGGGAAUAUUGGACAAUGGGCGGAAGCCUGAUCCAGCAACGCCGCGUGAGGGAUGACGGCCUUCGGGUUGUAAACCUCUUUCAGCACCGACGAAGCGAGAGUGACGGUAGGUGCAGAAGAAGGACCGGCCAACUACGUGCCAGCAGCCGCGGUAAUACGUAGGGCGCAAGCGUUAUCCGGAAUUAUUGGGCGUAAAGAGCUCGUAGGCGGUUUGUCGCGUCUGCCGUGAAAGUCCGGGGCUCAACUCCGGAUCUGCGGUGGGUACGGGCAGACUAGAGUGAUGUAGGGGAGACUGGAAUUCCUGGUGUAGCGGUGAAAUGCGCAGAUAUCAGGAGGAACACCGAUGGCGAAGGCAGGUCUCUGGGCAUUAACUGACGCUGAGGAGCGAAAGCAUGGGGAGCGAAC
rnacentral:rRNA from 1 species